rnacentral:rRNA from 1 species
UAGGGAGUCUUCGGCAAUGGACGGAAGUCUGACCGAGCAACGCCGCGUGAGUGAAGAAGGUUUUCGGAUCGUAAAGCUCUGUUGUAAGAGAAGAACGAGUGUGAGAGUGGAGAGUUCACACUGUGACGGUAUCUUACCAGAAAGGGACGGCUAACUACGUGCCAGCAGCCGCGGUAAUACGUAGGUCCCGAGCGUUGUCCGGAUUUAUUGGGCGUAAAGCGAGCGCAGGCGGUUAGAUAAGUCUGAAGUUAAAGGCUGUGGCUUAACCAUAGUAGGCUUUGGAAACUGUUUAACUUGAGUGCAAGAGGGGAGAGUGGAAUUCCAUGUGUAGCGGUGAAAUGCGUAGAUAUAUGGAGGAACACCGGUGGCGAAAGCGGCUCUCUGGCUUGUAACUGACGCUGAGGCUCGAAAGCGUGGGGAGCAAACAGGAUUAGAUACCCUGGUAGUCCACGCUGUAAACGAUGAGUGCUAGGUGUUAGACCCUUUCCGGGGUUUAGUGCCGUAGCUAACGCAUUAAGCACUCCGCCUGGGGAGUACGACCGCAAGGUUG